CUGCUAUCUAGUCGGCGACACAGAUUAAAAUUACAAAAUGGAAGAAGGAAGAACUAGCCUGAAGAAAAGAAAGAGAGUCACGGAUGAGAAAGAUGACAAGAACCUCUGGCGUGUAAAAUGUGGAGACAAAAAGGGUUGGAUGGAUGUAGAGAAGUUGGGAAAAGGUAAGGAUUGUAUUGAGUUUGAAGGCUCCUUUUACAGUCCACCUGAGUUUGAGAAGCUUGCAGGAAAAGAUUCAUGUAGAAAAUGGAAGUCAUCUAUUUACCACAAGAAAGCUCCUCUGCACUAUUGGUUCAAGGAUAUAGACAAAAAAAAAGAAAACGACAAUCAUCAGACCUUGAGUCCCAGGACCUCUUAACAGUCCUGUUCAAUAAAUACUCACCUGCAUCAGAGCUGCUGCAUUUUGGGUCCCAUCUUCAACUCCACACGUCCGCCACCCCGGACACGACAGAAAAUGAGGAUGGAGAAGAGGAUGAUGAGGAUAUGGAUGAAGAUGAUGUAUGGGCAGAUAAAUGGGAAGAUAAAGAAGCUACACAGAUUUCUAUCUCUUCUUCUGAAGAAGAGAGUGCGGAAGAUCAUGUUAAAGAUAUAGAUGACGAUGGAGAAGAGGAAGAUGAGGAUAUAGAUGCAGUUGAUGUCAGUAACGAUGAGCCUAGCACUGAGGAAGAUGAGGAUGAAGAAGAUGAUAAUGAUGAGGAUGAGACUGUGCCUGCUGUUGCCUCUAACCAUACUGGCAGCAGUGGUAUCAAAGUGUAACACCUAUGAUGAAAGAAGUAAAGGGUAUUGUUAACAUCCCUCCUGAGAAGAGUACACAUCAUCCUGACAUGCCAAGAUCUGAAGUCAGUGGAAAUAACAGAGAUGUGGCACAAAACACAGCAAUCAAACAGCUGAAUGUUAAGAAACAACCUGAAGAGAAACUGAAGAAGACAACAACAAGCACAAUUUCAAUACCUGGGAAACUUGCCCCGAAGAUUAAAGAAGCUUAUGGUAUCGUUAAUAGCCUUCCUGAGAAGACUAGACAUCAUCCUGACACGACAAGAUCUGAAGUCAGUGGAAAUAACAGAGAUGUGGCAACAAACACAGCAAUCAAACAGCUGAAUGUUAAGAAAGAACCCCAAGAGGAACUGAAACACAAGGAAGAUCGUGUUAAAGAUCAAGAUGAAGAACAAGAAGAUGAGCACAUGGAUGAAGAUGUUGUUGGUGAUGAUGAGCCUAGCACUGAGGAAGAUGAGGAUGAAGAAAGUGAUAAUGAUGAGGAAGAGACUGUGCCUGCUGUUGCCUCUAACCAUACUGGCAGCAAUGGUAUCAAAGACAGAGUAACAAGUGCAAUUCCAACACCUGGAAAACAUGCAUUACAGAUGAAAGAAGUAAAGGGUAUGGUUAACAUCCCUCCUGAGAAGAGUACACAUCAUCCUGACAUGCCAAGAUCUGAAGUCAGUGGAAAUAACAGAGAUGUGUCACAAAACACAGCAAUCAAACAGCUGAAUGUUAAGAAAGAACCUGAAGAGAAACUGAAGAAGACAACAACCAGCACAAUUUCAACACCUGGGAAACCUGCAGUGAAUAUCAAAGAAGUAAAGGGUGUCGUUAAUAGCCUUCCUGAGAAAGCUAGAGAUCAUCCUGACACGACAAGAUCUGAAGUCAAUGGAAAUUCCAGAGAUGUUGCAAAAAACACAGCAAUCAAACAGCAAAAUGUUAAGAAAGAACCCAACAAGGAACUCAAUGACCAUCAACAUACAGAGGUGCACUUCUCUGGCCACAGUGUAACUGAAGUACAAUCCAUGAGACCAGAGAUGAGCUCUACUUGAAAUAAGCCCAAUAUUCCUAAAUGUGACAAAACUGUCUUGUUUUGAGAAAAAAAAUCUGCCAUUAAGGUUCACGCCCUUGGCCCACGCCCUCGGAG
ensembl:lncRNA